GAUGAACGCUAGCUACAGGCUUAACACAUGCAAGUCGAGGGGCAGCAUGGUCUUAGCUUGCUAAGGCCGAUGGCGACCGGCGCACGGGUGAGUAACACGUAUCCAACCUGCCGUCUACUCUUGGACAGCCUUCUGAAAGGAAGAUUAAUACAAGAUGGCAUCAUGAGUCCGCAUGUUCACAUGAUUAAAGGUAUUCCGGUAGACGAUGGGGAUGCGUUCCAUUAGAUAGUAGGCAGGGUAACGGCCCACCUAGUCUUCGAUGGAUAGGGGUUCUGAGAGGAAGGUCCCCCACAUUGGAACUGAGACACGGUCCAAACUCCUACGGGAGGCAGCAGUGAGGAAUAUUGGUCAAUGGGCGAGAGCCUGAACCAGCCAAGUAGCGUGAAGGAUGACUGCCCUAUGGGUUGUAAACUUCUUUUAUAAAGGAAUAAAGUCGGGUAUGGAUACCCGUUUGCAUGUACUUUAUGAAUAAGGAUCGGCUAACUCCGUG
rnacentral:rRNA from 1 species